UACAGAGGUCCCAAGCGUUGUUCGGAUUCAUUGGGCGUAAAGGGUGCGUAGGCGGCGCGGUAAGUCGGGUGUGAAAUCUCGGGGCUUAACUCCGAAACUGCAUUCGAUACUGCCGUGCUUGAGGACUGGAGAGGAGACUGGAAUUUACGGUGUAGCGGUGAAAUGCGUAGAUAUCAGGAGGAACACCGGUGGCGAAGGCGGGAUCCUGGGCCAGUACUGACGCUGAGGAGCGAAAGCGUGGGGAGCAAACAGG
rnacentral:rRNA from 1 species